rnacentral:rRNA from 1 species
UACGUAGGGUGCAAGCGUUGUCCGGAAUUAUUGGGCGUAAAGAGCUCGUAGGCGGUUUGUCGCGUCUGCUGUGAAAACCCGAGCUCAACCUCGGGCCUGCAGUGGGUACGGGCAGGCUUGAGUUCGGUAGGGGAGACUGGAAUUCCUGGUGUAGCGGUGAAAUGCGCAGAUAUCAGGAGGAACACCGGUGGCGAAGGCGGAUCUCUGGGCCGAUACUGACGCUGAGGAGCGAAAGCGUGGGGAGCGAACAGG